UACGUAGGGUGCAAGCGUUAAUCGGAAUUACUGGGCGUAAAGCGUGCGCAGGCGGUUGUGCAAGACAGAUGUGAAAUCCCCGGGCUCAACCUGGGAACUGCAUUUGUGACUGCAAGGCUGGAGUACGGCAGAGGGGGAUGGAAUUCCGCGUGUAGCAGUGAAAUGCGUAGAUAUGCGGAGGAACACCGAUGGCGAAGGCAAUCCCCUGGGCCUGUACUGACGCUCAUGCACGAAAGCGUGGGGAGCAAACAGG
rnacentral:rRNA from 1 species